rnacentral:rRNA from 1 species
AUUGAACGCUGGCGGCAUGCCUUACACAUGCAAGUCGAACGGCAGCACGGGAGCAAUCCUGGUGGCGGGUGGCGAACGGGUGAGUAAUGUAUCGGAACGUACCCAGUCGUGGGGGAUAACGUAGCGAAAGCUACGCUAAUACCGCAUACGAUCUAUGGAUGAAAGCGGGGGAUCGCAAGACCUCGCGCGGAUGGAGCGGCCGAUAUCAGAUUAGCUAGUUGGUGGGGUAAAAGCCCACCAAGGCGACGAUCUGUAGCUGGUCUGAGAGGACGACCAGCCACACUGGGACUGAGACACGGCCCAGACUCCUACGGGAGGCAGCAGUGGGGAAUUUUGGACAAUGGGCGCAAGCCUGAUCCAGCAAUGCCGCGUGCAGGAUGAAGGCCUUCGGGUUGUAAACUGCUUUUGUACGGAGCGAAAAGGCUCUCUCUAAUACAGGGGGCUCAUGACGGUACCGUAAGAAUAAGCACCGGCUAACUACGUGCCAGCCGCCGCGGUAA